rnacentral:lncRNA from 1 species
AAAAAAAUCAUUGCAUGAUGGAAAUACCCAAAAAGCAGAAAGAAAAACAUAACUUGAAUGAAUCAAAUUUAUAGCAAAAUAUACAAUUUCAAUAAACACAAGUAGCUAGAGAUGCCAAGUCGAUUUCGGGAAGCGAAAAUAAGUAUGUUUGCAUUGAAAAAUAAAAGAUAUUUCAACAAAUUUUAGGAAAUUAGCUCAAGAAUUUCCCUUUUUAAUUAUUAAUUAGAUCUUUUAGCACAAAAUAGCAAAACAUAAUAAAAUAAAAAAUAAAAACAUAACAAAACUAGCAACACUCAACAAAAAAUACUUUUAUUUUGCUAAAAAAAACCAAAUUAUUUUAUCUACCGGCUAAUUCAUAGCGAAUACUCGA